AAGAAGCUUCGCGUGUUGGGUCCCCGGAGACCGGGAGCGUAUCAGCGGUGAGGGAGGCGGGUACUUCCGCCAGGAGGGCCCAAUCGCAGUGGUGGGGCAGUUUCUAUAAAAGCUUGAGCCUCGGGCCUUCGCGUUCUUUCGGGAUCGAGUGCCGGUGUAGCUGGUUUUGCUUUUUGCCGCCAUGUGCCAAGGCCAUGGGCGCCCUGGGCCCCGAGGGCGUUUGAGGGGGUCCCCCCAAGCCUGCAGGCGGGCCUGGCUCUCUUUCGCCUUGGUGUUGUUCACGUUUUUUGCUCCGCCCCCUUACCCCCUUCGGUCGGGGAAGUCCGAAGCUCCAGGCCUACGUCUUCCUGCAGGGCGGUGGGUAACCCGGCUGGAGACUGAACGUGAGUGGACCGCAGUCUGGAGGCCUGCUGGUAAGACGGGAGCCCGUGUCUGUAUGGGAGGCGCUUAGCAAUAAAGCAAAAGUGGUGAAUUGA